rnacentral:rRNA from 1 species
UUGGAGGGCAAGUCUGGUGCCAGCAGCCGCGGUAAUUCCAGCUCCAAUAGCGUAUAUUAAAGUUGUUGCAGUUAAAAAGCUCGUAGUUGAAUUUCGGGAUCAGUGGGUCGGUCGUGCCACUGGUAUGUACUGGCCCUACUGGUUCCUCCUUCUUGAGGAACUGCGAUGCCAUUAAUUUGGUGUUGCAGGGAAACAGGACUGUUACUUUGAAAAAAUUAGAGUGUUUAAAGCAGGCAAUCGCUUGAAUACAUUAGCAUGGGAUAAUGAAAUAGGACGUUCGAACCUAUUUUGUUGGUUUCUAGGAUUGACGUAAUGAUUAAUAGGGAUAGUUGGGGGCAUUAGUAUUCAAUUGUCAGAGGUGAAAUUCUUGGAUUUAUUGAAGACUAACUACUGCGAAAGCAUUUGCCAAGGAUGUUUUCAUUAAUCAAGAACGAAAGUUAGGGGAUCGAAGACGAUCAGAUACCGUCGUAGUCUUAACCAUAAACUAUGCCGACUAGGGAUCGGAUGAUGUUAAUUUUUUAAUGACUCAUUCGGCGCCUUACGGGAAAC